UACGGAGGAUCCAAGCGUUAUCCGGAUUCAUUGGGUUUAAAGGGUGCGUAGGCGGAAUGAUAAGUCAGUGGUGAAAUCCUGCAGCUUAACUGCAGAACUGCCAUUGAUACUGUCAAUCUUGAGUAUAUUUGAUGUGGGCGGAAUGUGUCAUGUAGCGGUGAAAUGCUUAGAUAUGACACAGAACACCGAUUGCGAAGGCAGCUCACAAAACUAUAACUGACGCUGAGGCACGAAAGCGUGGGGAGCAAACAGG
rnacentral:rRNA from 1 species